CCCGGGUUCAACCAAUUCUGCCUCAGUCUCCCAAGUAGCUGGAAUUAGAGGUGCCCGCCACCAUGCCUGGCUAAUUUUUAUAUUUUUAGUAGAGACGGGGUUUCACCAUGUUGGCCAGGCUGGUCUUGAACUGCUGACCUCAAGUGGUCCACCCGCCUCGGCCUCCCAAAGUGCUGGGAUUACAGGCAUGAGCCACUGCUCCCGACCUGCAAUUCUUGCUAUGAGUUAAUAAAGGGAUCCAGUAACUGCUCCCAGGGAAAGGAUAUCAGUACCCGUGCCUGGCAGAGAAAGGAAGAUGGAGCUACCAUCUUGACCAUGUCUAGUCCUUAGUUCCUGCCAGCAUUCACUGUCAGGCCUCUGAGCCCAAGUGAAGCCAUCAUAUCCCCUGUGGCCUGCACGUACACAUCCAGAUGGCCGGU
rnacentral:lncRNA from 1 species